rnacentral:rRNA from 1 species
UAGGGAAUCUUCGGCAAUGGACGAAAGUCUGACCGAGCAACGCCGCGUGAGUGAAGAAGGUUUUCGGAUCGUAAAACUCUGUUGUUAGAGAAGAACAAGGACGUUAGUAACUGAACGUCCCCUGACGGUAUCUAACCAGAAAGCCACGGCUAACUACGUGCCAGCAGCCGCGGUAAUACGUAGGUGGCAAGCGUUGUCCGGAUUUAUUGGGCGUAAAGCGAGCGCAGGCGGUUUCUUAAGUCUGAUGUGAAAGCCCCCGGCUCAACCGGGGAGGGUCAUUGGAAACUGGGAGACUUGAGUGCAGAAGAGGGGAGUGGAAUUCCAUGUGUAGCGGUGAAAUGCGUAGAUAUAUGGAGGAACACCAGUGGCGAAGGCGGCUCUCUGGUCUGUAACUGACGCUGAGGCUCGAAAGCGUGGGGAGCAAACAAG